GACGAACGCUGGCGGCGUGCUUAACACAUGCAAGUCGAACGGAAAGGCCCUGCUUUUGUGGGGUGCUCGAGUGGCGAACGGGUGAGUAACACGUGAGUAACCUGCCCUUGACUUUGGGAUAACUUCAGGAAACUGGGGCUAAUACCGGAUAGGAGCUCCUGCUGCAUGGUGGGGGAUGGAAAGUUUCGGCGGUUGGGGAUGGACUCGCGGCUUAUCAGCUUGUUGGUGGGGUAGUGGCUUACCAAGGCUUUGACGGGUAGCCAGCCUGAGAGGGUGACCGGCCACAUUGGGACUGAGAUACGGCCCAGACUCCUACGGGAGGCAGCAGUGGGGAAUAUUGCACAAUGGGCGGAAGCCUGAUGCAGCAACGCCGCGUGCGGGAUGACGGCCUUCGGGUUGUAAACCGCUUUCGCCUGUGACGAAGCGUGAGUGACGGUAAUGGGUAAAGAAGCACCGGCUAACUACGUG
rnacentral:rRNA from 1 species